AACGAACGCUGGCGGCAGGCUUAACACAUGCAAGUCGAGCGAUAUUAAGGGGCUUGCUCCUUAAGAAAGUGGCGCACGGGUGCGUAACGCGUAUGCAACCUACCUUAAUCAGGGGGAUAGCCCAAAGAAAUUCGGAUUAACACCGCAUAAAAACACAGGAUAGCAUUAUCCAAUGUUCAAAUAUUUAUAGGAUUAAGAUGGGCAUGCGUGUCAUUAGCUAGUUGGCGGGGUAACGGCCCACCAAGGCGACGAUGACUAGGGGAUCUGAGAGGAUGAACCCCCACACUGGUACUGAGACACGGACCAGAAUCCUACGGGAGGCAGCAGUAAGGAGUAUUGGUCAAUGGAGGCAACUCUGAACCAGCCAUGCCGCGUGCAGGAAGACUGCCCUAUGGGUUGUAAACUGCUUUUAUCCGGGAAUAAACCUUUCUACGUGUAGGAAGCUGAAUGUACCGGAAGAAUAAGGACCGGCUAACUCCGUGCCAGCCGCCGCGGUAAGAC
rnacentral:rRNA from 1 species